rnacentral:snRNA from 1 species
ACAUGGGGAUACUCUGGUUUCUCUUCAGAUCGUAUAAAUCUUUCGCCUUUUACUAAAGAUUUCCGUGGAGAGGAACAACUCUGAGUCUUAAACCAAUUUUUUGAGGCCUUGUUUCGGCAAGGCUAUAUUUAGAAUGUCUAACAACAGAACUACUACUGUGCAUUACUGAUAGUUUGUAUAUCUACUCACUGCUUUAAGUGACCUACACAGCCAAGCGUUGAAAUAGAGCUCUGGUAGACAGCUUGUGUGUGUGCUUGUGUGUGUUUUAAGGGGAAAAAACUGUGAGGAGAAGGCAUGUAGAUUUUAAGCCCAUCCUGGUCUAUAUAGCAAGCUUCAGGGCAUACAUGGACUUUGAUCAAAAACAAGCUUACCAUUAGCCACAGUUAAAAUUCUGCUCAGCACCAGACCAACAUUCUCUUGAAGAGAGGGGCUAAGUCAGACCCAAUGAAAGACUCCGUGAUGAUGGAGAGGGGUAUAGCCGGAUCAUAUUGCAGUGUUUCCUCUGGUGGACCCCCUUUUCCAGCCUGAGGGCUAGGGCUGAAGGUCCCAGGGAAGCCAAUGUUUCGGACUUGACUUUGAGGCUGACAAAAGACUCCAGGUUGUUGUGGCAGGGAGAGAAAAGAUUUGGGGAGAUGCUGUUCUCAGCUAGCUGGGAGCUAAAUAUUGUGCAGUCUCUGCAGUCCUGAGUGUUUAAACAGCAGGAACCUGACUAGGGCCUGGUCUCCCCUAUUUGUCAGGUGAAUCAGAUAGUCUGACACUCCCACCCGCUGUGCCCUAGGCUCUGACAUUUCAUGAAGUUAAGUGCUGAGCUCCAGGAAGUAGAGAUCAGAGAGUGGCAGAACCAAAGUGCACUCGGUCUGUAAGAACCGCCCUGGCCUUUAGUGACUACAAGGCUGUCCAUCCUGUGGGGCCUGACUCAGACAGGCUUCCUGUGGUGACGAAAAUAGCAGAGACAGAACCAUACUGCAAGGUCAAUCCAAGCCUGACGGGCGGCAGAUGCUGGCACGCGCCCACACAACAUUCAUAAGCAGGCUCACACAGUGCACUUCCAUGCAAACACUCACACAUGCAUCCUCAUAUGCAAGCUGUCACAGAGCCAUGUAAACACACCUGCAUAACAUUUCUGUAAAUAACAUGCAGGCACUUACACACACGUGCGCUUAUGCACACACUCACAUCCAUGCAGUCACUUACAUUCACAUGUAUGUUCACAUACAUACCUAGGAGUGGAACUGCUGGGCAUGCUUGACUUCAGCUUAACGGCAGUCUCAUGCAUGCUAGCAGGCAAGCGCUUUGUGGAGGGUGGUGGGAGCAGUCUGCCCAAGAGUCAUGAAGGCCUUGUUAGGGCAGAGGUGUGGGUGUCAGGCCUUGAGGGAGGCAAACACAGAAUGUUCCAGAAAGGACCGGAAACACACACAUCUCAGAUCGGAAUGGAAUGGGUCCUGAGCUCACCCAUUGUGUCAGAGUCCCAAAGACUGUUUCCCUGUGGUUAAUUCCCAUUGGAAGGAGCUAAUUCCUGCCCAUCUCUUCAUCCCUUCAGGUUGGUGAAGCCUCCAAAAAAAAAAAAAAAAAAAAAAAAAAAAGU